rnacentral:rRNA from 1 species
AAAGGAAUAGACGGGGGCCCGCACAAGCGGAGGAACAUGUGGUUUAAUUCGAUGAUACGCGAGGAACCUUACCCGGGCUUGAAGCGCUGACGGCCGGCGGAGAGACCCGCCUUCCCCUCGGGGCGUCCGCGCAGGUGCUGCAUGGUUGUCGUCAGCUCGUGCCGUGAGGUGUCGGCUUAAGUGCCAUAACGAGCGCAACCCCCGCCGCUAGUUGCCACCGGGUCGUGCCGGGGACUCUAGCGGGACUGCCGCCGCAAGGUGCGAGGAGGGCGGGGACGACGUCAAAUCAGCACGGCCCUUAUGUCCGGGGCGACACACGUGUUACAAUGGGCGGUACAGAGGGUUGCCACCCGGCGACGGGGCGCUGAUCCCCAAAGCCGCUCUCAGUUCGGAUCGGAGCCUGCAACUCGGCUCCGUGAAGCUGGAUUCGCUAGUAAUCGCGCAUCAGCCACGGCGCGGUGAAUACGUUCCCGGGCCUUGUACACACCGCCCGU